GUACAUCCCGGUGGUUGGGGGCAGCAACCUCCAUGGACCAGCGACGGGAACCGAUCUUGGGCCAAGGUGGCACAGGGCCGGGCGUGGUAGGCUAUGUGGACAGAUCACAAGAUCUCUAAAGAGGAACUUGAUAAUCUCCAGCGGUACUUCACCAAGUUCUUGAGCUACCGAAGGAGAGGAUUCAGCAUCGUGAUGCAACUGGGAGAAGAUGGCGGUGAUUUGUAGAAGCCUUGGCCUGAGGGUCCCUGCUGAAUGGGUGGCUAA
rnacentral:lncRNA from 1 species